rnacentral:tRNA from 1 species
GAGGCUGUAGCUCAAUGGCAGAGCGCCCACCUCACACAUGUGAGGCACUGGGUUCGAUCCUCAGCACCACA